UUUAUAAAAAUGUCAUGUUUCUAAGAUUAAUAAUGACCAACAGUCCUAGAUUUUCCAGUAUAACGUGUGCUGAUCAGCCAUUAAUCGAUUCUCUUUCAGGAGCUUUUAACAUCUUUUCCAUCUGAAUUGUAGGAAUGGAUUUUCAGAGGGAAGUGUGGCUAGUGUUGUUGAAGACAGGUGAGCAAUUACGCAGAACAUAGGCGUGCAUCUUCUGCGUCACUCCGGUGACCCGAAAGCCCGCAAAACCCACGGCAGCGAUCACUAACGGACCCUAUUAACCAGCCAUCACGCACCUGCAGCCGGGCAUGCUAGAGAUAAUUAGACCAUUCUGCAUACUGUGACAACUUCUGCUGAAACUCAUCCCUAAAACCUGCUCAUUAUAUACGCCGGCCAUCCUUUGGGUACAGCAAAGCGCUGGUCUAAUUGUCACAUCAAUUUACACCGUUUUUAAGGUUACGUCAGAGCAUCUGCUGUAUAAUGUGCAAAAGAUGAGGAGAUUCAUCAGUCUUGUGAAAUCGGCUGCACUGCUAAAUAAGUCUGGAAUGGAUGGAUGUGAACGAAAGUAAAGUGAUUCGCUCAGGGGGAUUAUUUUAGGAGGCCGCAGCCAAGCCAAAAAUCUCAUGCCAUGUUUUGUCUUUGGUUUGUAAACACACUUUUGCUGUUGUCUGCUGAUGCCCUCGCUCAUGUUGGAUUUGAAUAAUUGAUGAAUCUUAAAGUGAUUGUAUGGCAACUGGGGUGCUGAUAAAGGAUCGGCGAGAGGAAGGGACCUUUGUGCAUUUCCUGUGUCUCAGGGGGCUGCGCUGAGAUUCGCUGCUUACUCAGUAGUGAAACCUUCAUAUCCAAGUGUUUUGUGCUGACAAAGGGCAAAUGGGAUUCUGUUUUACAGCAAACGAUGCAAGAUUGCACUAUUGCGCUUCAAAAGAGCGCCAGGCAUGAGGGGAAAAAAACAAACGGCACUUAAAUCUCACGUCUGAGGAGGAAACUGGUGGUCUGGUUGGUCAGAAGAACAUCCAUAAAUAUCAAUGAAGAUCCUCCUUGUUUUCCUCAGGCUGAGAUGGAUGGUGAGCACAGCUCAAACAGACUGAUUUAUGGGGGUCCGUUUCGCCUGCAGGCCCCCUGAGGACCCCGCUCUCCGCUGGUUGCGGUCGAGGGCCUGUCUUCCCCACCCUGAAGACUCGAAGGCUCUUCCGUGACUGCGCUGAUGCCAGACACCAAACGGCCACUUCUCAACCACCCCCAUUUGUCACCGGGGGCGGCUGGGGAGCUCCCUUAAACAGGAGGAGAAGAAAGAGAUAGAGCGAGCAAUGGAGGAAAAGAAAUAGACCUGUCUCUCCUCUCCUCCGCUAGCAUUGAUCUCAGUGGAAAGCCUUUUUAUUCUCAGAGUUUUGUUUGUCGGCGUGAGAGGUAGAACGGGGUCCCUUCGCCACCAACCACGACCAUUAUAUUCCAUUAAAAAUGAGUAAUGAGGGCAAGUGUCAGGAAAUUAGAAAAGGCAGAAAGAGAUUUCAUUAUUUCGAAGAGCUUUUAUGGUUUAAAAUGUUUGUGAAGAUGUAAAAUCCAUACUACCGAUCCUUUUUUUUUUCCUAUCAUAUUGUGCAUAUGAGGCAUAUUCAUAACAAUUAUUUUAUACAUGAAGGCAACUAAAAAAUGCCAAGUCUCUGCCACUAUUUUUCUAGUUUUUGGACUGUAGAUGUGUUAAAAAAAAGAGAGAGGGAGAGUAUGAGUAGACAGCUUUAGGAAGAGCUUUUGACAUUUUGCUGCACAAUGUCUAAUGCGGUGUUUUCAAUUCAUGCUGCCAUCUUUGGAUAUUUACUCCUGAAAUGCACAUGUCAGCUUUAGUGGCUGGUGGGCAAAAUCCCUUAUUAUUGAUUGCAUGGUGUUUCUACAUAGCAAGAUGUGCCCAUAGGUCACUAAUGUUGCUGUAUAUUAAAUCAUCUCCACAUGGAUCCAAAAAUCCAAAAA